rnacentral:rRNA from 1 species
UACGGAGGGUGCGAGCGUUAAUCGGAAUUACUGGGCGUAAAGGGUGCGUAGGUUGUUUAAUAAGUUAUCUGUAAAAUCCCUGGGCUUAACCUGGGCAGGUCAGAUAAGACUGUUAGACUCGAGUAUGGGAGAGGGUAGUGGAAUUUCCGGUGUAGCGGUGAAAUGCGUAGAGAUCGGAAGGAACACCAGUGGCGAAGGCGGCUACCUGGCCCUAAUACUGACACUGAGGCACGAAAGCGUGGGGAGCAAACAGGG